GCUGGUCGGACCUGUCUUUCUUACCUUUAGCUGGGAUAGCUUCCCACAGGUGCUGCAGCGCAAACUACAGAGCACGGACGGGCCAGCCAUCGGAGUGACUGCAGAAGGCGCGUCCGGCAAAAGAAAAGAUGUCCUUGGAGUCCUUUCACGUCUUUUGAAAGCGGUAAAUCCUAUGUAUGUGGUCUUCCGUAGUUCUAUCCUCGUUUCGGAUAAAGGCUGUCAAGUUCGAGCACCCUCACCGUUGCAUGGCGCCUCGCCGUCUUUUGUAAGUGUCUGCGCUCAUUCUGUGGAUACAGACACACGAUGGGAGCGGGGGACCUA